rnacentral:piRNA from 1 species
UUCCUGGUUUAAGACCUUUUC